AGUAACACGUGGGUGAUCUGCCCUGCACUUCGGGAUAAGCCUGGGAAACUGGGUCUAAUACCGGAUAGGAGCCAUUUUUAGUGUGAUGGUUGGAAAGUUUUUCGGUGUAGGAUGAGCUCGCGGCCUAUCAGCUUGUUGGUGGGGUAAUGGCCUACCAAGGCGGCGACGGGUAGCCGGCCUGAGAGGGUGGACGGCCACAUUGGGACUGAGACACGGCCCAG
rnacentral:rRNA from 1 species